rnacentral:pre_miRNA from 1 species
UUACUACUCCCUCCGUUCGAAAUUACUUGUCUUGAAAAUGGAUGUAUUUAGAACUAAAAUACGUCUAGAUAUAUCCAUUUUCACGACAAGUAAUUCCAAAUGGAGGGAGUAGCUU